rnacentral:snoRNA from 1 species
UAUCUUAAUAUGGAAAAAAUAAUAAUCUGUUGAAAAAAAAAAAUCAGCAUAGGAACCUCAGAAGACA